ACAUCACCCGCUCUCCAGGUCCCGGGAGAAAUGUGCUCAGAACAUUACCUGGACCAAACGCUGCAGCCGAUGGACUGCUUUUUCCUAACUUUUAGCAGGCUGCAAUGUGCAAACAGGAGCAAUUUUUUCCGGCUGUCUGUCAGGGCGCGAUGGCAAGGCUUGCACUGACUUCAGCGGCAUCGAACACACCAGUUGGAAGCUCCCGCAGCAAAGCAGUGUGGAGCAGAAGAAAUGAAUCAUGCUGCCUCGUUUAUCGGGAGGUCCGAGCCUGGAUCUCCCCGUCGGAGGUGGAGACAGAAGCCUUCUGAAAUGCAGACCUCACAGAGAGAUUGUUUUCCAUGCUCCAGUCCAAAGCCUGACUCAGUCAGAACUGGAGUGCCAAAGACAAGGCCAGCAGGAAGCUUACAGUGGGCCGAGCGAUGCAGCUGUAAGGGAUGGAUCGUCGACUUGUGUGAACGUGGCGAAGCUCACCCGCUGAGUGUCUCGCGCCAGCUUCUUACAAAAUGCACGGCUCAUCUAUUAGGAAGUUUCCAAGGAACAGUGUUUUGGCUGCUUCUGUCUUGGAGUAAGACGCUUCCUCCGAAGCGUGCUGUCAGUCCUGGCAUGUAGGACAGACUCCUGAAGGGGUGGUAGAGAACGCCCCAAGCACGUUGAUAAGAACAGCUCUCCUCUCAGAGGCGGUGGCUCCCCCUAUAGCCCCUCUGCCUUGAUGCAGUGGCUGCUUAUGGCUUUGCCUUGUGCCUGCCAGUACGGAGCAGGCCCAGGUGCUCUUCCAACACCUGCGUGAGCACUCUGGUCUCUGGUGUGCUAUCCCCCUGAUAUGCCCAGGAAACCUGUUGCAUUUGCCACGUCACUCAAAUCAGCCUCCAAGAAGAGCCCUGUAGACCCAUGGAAAAUAGACCGCUAUGACUUAGGAGCAGCAAUGUGACAUGUCUUAUACCUCUGGCAGCUCUGAGAAUGAUAAUUCCCCCGGUACACUGUCGCAUUAGGAGCAGUGCAUGGGCAGGGGCUUGGACCAGGUGACCCCUGAGGCCCCCCAGCCUGCGGAUUCAGGAUCCUCUGCAGUUGGGAGAACAAGACAGGGGGAUGCUUGCUUUGGAGCCGCAACUCUGUGCACAAGGAUGUCUGCACCCCUCUCUGGGUGAGAGCCCCGGGGGGAAAGAACAACCAACGUGCUGGAAGCUGGUAACAAUUGUGGCUUUCCUCCUCUUGGCAAGGGCUCUAGUGAAGAGUACAGCACUGGAGCUGGGGCAGCUUUACACACACGCAGCCUGGGAUUUCAACUGCUUGGACGCCCCUUGCAAUUCCCACGGCCGAGUCACCUUCAGUAUGUGCCUUUUGGCUCCCAGGAAGGCGCCGUUGCUCUGCCCUGUGCCCUAGAGGCUGUGGGAGCUCUCCUCCCCAGGACCGUGCUGCAGGUCACCAGCCCUUGCCAUGAGGGUCCCUGGAGCUGCAGCCCUGGGGGCUCAGGGGCUGCGCUCUGUCAUGUCCCUGCUAGCCGAGCGUUGUGGGCUUGUGUAGAGGCAUGAGGGCUGGGAACUGCUCCCCGUGCUGCCCGAGAAAGCAUUCCCUUGCCGUAAUCCUGCCUCCUGGCAUCCUCUGUGCAGGCAGGAGGGCAGGAGGUCAAGCUGAUUCCUGCUCUUGGAGCUGAAACAGAAGCUGUGUGCUAUUUUCCCAGCCAGCCGCUCCCCUCGAAGGGGCUGUCAGGGCUGUGGCCGAGGGUUAUUUUUCUAACCUCCUGUCCCCUUCAGGAAGAUGAGGCUGAGGCUGAAGCUGAAGCAGUUUCCCCAAGCAUGGGCACCUCUGCAACCUCCUGUUGCUCCUUUCUCAGCCAUGGGGCUCCCCUGGGAGGCUGGGCCUGGGUGCGCCAAUGGAAGGGUCACCCCAUCUCCCCCAAUGAGCUGCUAGCGCUGCAGGCGUGGGGCAGGAGUGCAUUUGGAUCCAUGCAGUGGUGCCCCUCGCCCUCACCCCCUCCAACUCCAACAUUCAGGUCCCAGGCAGAGUUUGCUCAAUGUGACGGUCUAAUUCCAGCCACCUCCCCACGUCCCUGUGAUCGUGGCACUGAGCUGUGCCCUUCUCUCUCUCCCUUGGGGCUGCUCACACCCCGUGUGCCUAGGUGGCCCAAGUGAAGCUGGCCACGCUGGAUGUCUUGCAAAUCUGUUUCUGGAUGAAACAGAUUUUUCAGGCCUGAGCUCUGCUGUGCUGUGGUUCUCCCUCGGGGUGCCUGCGCUGCCUGAGAAACAUGGGUCCCUGCUUCCACCAAGCUGGCAAAGCCCAGGGAUGUGGGUGAGUGUCUGGCCCACAAGCGGAGGUCCCAGCCAGCAUGGCACACCACACCACGCCACAACACAACCCACGUACCUGCCAGGAUGUGGAUUGAAGGGGAGUGGGGAGGACAGGGUCUGGACUGAGCUACCCGUAUGGGACAGAGUGGGAAGCACCUGCUGCCCCACUGAACCCAGCAGCCUCGCGCCCAGAGCAGCUCUUGCCAGCUCCAAGGCCGGUGGCUUUAGGACACAUCUAACACCUCUGGCUGGCAUAGCCCUCUUCUGCCUCUACCUCUGCCAGCCAAGAGGAGCAGAAAGGGCCAUUUCACAUGAGGACUAACUGCCCUCACCCCCCGGCCCUGCACCCCCGUCUCCCUGCGCCCCGCUUUGCUGCCAGGAGCAUUCCCGGGGAAGCUGCACCAUCUUUGUUUAGUCAUUAGAGCAGAAAACGAGGGCGAGAAUCUGAGGAAAUGCUUGAAACGAUUAGGUGGUCUUAACCGAGAGGCACUAAAUGCAUGCAAAGCACCUCCCCCAGCCCCUCGUGCGGCGGGAGAAUGUAAUCGCAUUUCUAAACACACAAUUACGGGAAAUAAAGAGACAAGAAAAGAAUAAUUAAUUUCUGCUUCCUCAUGCAAAUCCUCUGACCAAUCAUUUAGGGAUCAGGAGCAAUUCAGCU